rnacentral:rRNA from 1 species
UACGUAGGGUGCGAGCGUUAAUCGGAACUACUGGGCGUAAAGCGUGCGCAGGCGGUUUUGCAAGCCGGAUGUGAAAUCCCCGGGCUCAACCUGGGAAUGACAUUUGGGACUGCAAGGCUCGAGUGCGGCAGAGGAGACUGGAAUUCCUGGUGUAGCAGUGAAAUGCGUAGAUAUCAGGAGGAAUACCGAUGGCGAAGGCAGGUCUCUGGGCUGACACUGACGCUCAUGCACGAAAGCGUGGGGAGCAAACAGG